AUUGAACGCUGGCGGCAGGCUUAACACAUGCAAGUCGAGCGAGCGGCGGACGGGUGAGGAAUGUCUGGGAAACUGCCUGAUGGCGGGGGUUACCUCCUGGAAACGGUAGCUAAUACCGCAUACCAUCAGAUGUGCCCAGAUGGGAUUAUCUAGUAGGUGGGGUAAUGGCUCACCUAGGCGACGAUCCAUAGCUGGUCUGAGAGGGUGACCAGCAACACUGGAACUGAGACACGGUCCAGACUCCUACGGGAGGCAGCAGUGGGGAAUGUUGCACAAUUGGCGCAAGCCUGAUGCAGCCAUGCCGCGUGUGUGAAGAAGGCCUUCGGGUUGUAAAGCACUUUCAGCGAGGAGGCGUUACUCGCAGAAGAAGCACCGGCUAACUCCGUGCCAGCAGCCGCGGUAAUUC
rnacentral:rRNA from 1 species